rnacentral:rRNA from 1 species
UACGGAGGGGGCUAGCGUUGUUCGGAAUUACUGGGCGUAAAGCGCGCGUAGGCGGCUUUGCAAGUUAGAGGUGAAAGCCCGGAGCUUAACUCCGGAACUGCCUUUAAAAACUGCAUCGCUAGAAUCGUGGAGAGGUGAGUGGAAUUCCGAGUGUAGAGGUGAAAUUCGUAGAUAUUCGGAAGAACACCAGUGGCGAAGGCGACUCACUGGACACGUAUUGACGCUGAGGUGCGAAAGCGUGGGGAGCAAACAGG